rnacentral:rRNA from 1 species
CAGCCGCCGCGGUAAUACGAGGGGGGCAAGCGUUGUUCGGAUUUAUUGGGCGUAAAGGGUGCGUAGGCGGUUUGGCAAGUCUUGUGUGAAAUCUAUGGGCUCAACCCAUAGCCUGCACGAGAAACUACCGGGCUUGAGUAGUGGAGAGGUGAGUGGAAUUUCCAGUGUAGCGGUGAAAUGCGUAGAUAUCGGAAGGAACACCUGUGGCGAAAGCGGCUCACUGGACACUAACUGACGCUGAUGCACGAAAGCUAGGGGAGCAAACAGGAUUAGAGACCCCUGUAGUCCUGUCUCUUAUACA